rfam:Pan troglodytes isolate Yerkes chimp pedigree #C0471 (Clint) chromosome 11, whole genome shotgun sequence.
GCCAGGCAUGGUGGCGCAUGCCUGUAGUCCCAGCUACUCAGGAGGCUGAGGCAGGAGAAUUGCUUGAACCCAGGAGGCAGAGGUUGCAGUGAGCUGAGAUCGUGCCACUGCACUCCUGCCUGGGUAACAGAGCAAGACUCCAACUCAA